CAGUAGCCACGGUAAUACGUAGGGUGCGAGCGUUAAUCGGAAUUAUUGGGCGUAAAGGGUGCGUAGGCGGCUUGACAAGUCUUGUGUGAAAUCUAUGGGCUCAACCCAUAGUCUGCACGGGAAACUGUCGGGCUUGAGAAUGGGAGAGGUGAGUGGAAUUUCCGGUGUAGCGGUGAAAUGCGUAGAUAUCGGAAGGAACACCUGUGGCGAAAGCGGCUCACUGGACCAUUUCUGACGCUGAUGCACGAAAGCUAGGGGAGCAAACAGGAUUAGAUACCCGAGUAGUCCCUGUCUCUUAUAA
rnacentral:rRNA from 1 species